CCCUUAGAUGUCCUGGGCCGCACGCGCGCUACAAUGACAUAUGCAGCAAGUUUUUUCUCCUGACCCGGAAGGGCUUGGGUAAUCUUGGAAAUGUAUGUCGUGUUAGGGAUAGAUCUUUGCAAUUAUGGAUCUUGAACGAGGAAUUCCUAGUAAGUGCAAGUCAUCAGCUUGUACUGAUUACGUCCCUGCCCUUUGUACACACCGCCCGUCGCUCCUACCGAUUUCGAGUGGUCCGGUGAACCUUCUGGACUGCAGAUGGCAACAUCCGUGGAAAGUUAAGUAAACCUUAUCACUUAGAGGAAGGAGAAGUCGUAACA
rnacentral:rRNA from 1 species